AACCAUUCUCACCUGCGGCUAGACCUGCGGAAGGAUCAUUACCGAGUUUACAACUCCCAAACCCCUGUGAACAUACCACUUGUUGCCUCGGCGGAUCAGCCCGCUCCCGGUAAAACGGGACGGCCCGCCAGAGGACCCCUAAGCUCUGUUUCUAUAUGUAACUUCUGAGUAAAACCAUAAAUAAAUCAAAACUUUCAGCAAUGGAUCU
rnacentral:misc_RNA from 1 species